rnacentral:rRNA from 1 species
AGUGCUUAAGGGGUUAGCUACGGCACUAAACCCCGGAAGGGUCUAACACCUAGCACUCAUCUUUUACGGGGUGCACAACCGGGGUAUCUAAUCCUGUUUGCUCCCCACGUUUUCGAGCCUCAGCGUCAGUUACAAGCCAGAGAGCCGCUUUCGCCAGUGGUGUUCCUCCAUAUAUCUACGCUUUUCACCGCUACGCGUGGAAUUCCCCUCUCCCCUCUUGCACUCACUUUAUACUGUUUCCAAAGCCUACUAUGGUUAAGCCACAGCCUUUAACUUCAAACUUAUCUAACCGCCUGCGCUCGCUUUACGCCCAAUAAAUCCAGACAACGCUCGGGACCUACGUAUUACCGCGGCUGCUGGCACGUAUUUAGCCGUCCCUUUCUGGUAAAAUACCGUCACAGUGUGAACUUUCCACUCUCACACUCGUUCUUCUCUUACAACAGAGCUUUACGAUCCGUAAACCUUCUUCACUCACGCGGCGUUGCUCGGUCAGACUUCCGUCCAUUGCCAAAAAUUCCCUACUGCUGCCUCCCGUAAGAGUCUGGGCCGUGUCUCAGUCCCAGUGUGGCCGAUCACCCUCUCAGGUCGGCUAUGUAUCGUCGCCUUGGUGAGCCGUUACCCCACCAACUAGCUAAUACAACGCAUGUCCAUCUGGUA